GGCCGGGUGGCGGAGAGUUAACGCGGCGGAUUGCAAAUCCGCUUACCCUGGUUCAAUUCCAGGCCCGGCCUCCA
rnacentral:tRNA from 1 species